rnacentral:rRNA from 1 species
GACGAACGCUGGCGGCGUGCCUAAUACAUGCAAGUCGAACGCAGGGGGGACGGGUGAGUAACACGUGGGUAACCUCCCAUCAGAGGGGAUAACACUUGGAAAAUGGUGCUAAACCGAUACUGAUGUAGGGACCCGCGGUGCAUUAGCUAGUUGGUGGGGUAACGGCUCACCAAGGCCACGAGGCAUAGCCGGCCUGAGAGGGUGAUCGGCCACACUGGGACUGAGACACGGCCCAGACUCCUACGGGAGGCAGCAGUGGGGAAUUUUGGACAAUGGGGGAAACCCUGAUGCAGCCAUCCCGCGUGUGUGAUGAAGGCCUUAGGGUUGUAAAGCACUUUUGGCAGGAAGGCGUUACCUGCAGAAUAAGCACCGGCUAACUACGUGCCAGCAGCCGCGGUAAUUC